GUGGGGAAUCUUGCGCAAUGGGCGAAAGCCUGACGCAGCCAUGCCGCGUGGAUGAUGAAGGUCUUAGGAUUGUAAAAUCCUUUCACCGGUGAAGAUAAUGACUGUAGCCGGAGAAGAAGCCCCGGCUAACUUCGUGCCAGCAGCCGCGGUAAUACGAAGGGGGCUAGCGUUGCUCGGAUUUACUGGGCGUAAAGGGCGCGUAGGCGGACAUUUAAGUCAGGGGUGAAAUCCCGGGGCUCAACCUCGGAACUGCCUUUGAUACUGGGUGUCUUGAGUAUGAGAGAGGUGUGUGGAACUCCGAGUGUAGAGGUGAAAUUCGUAGAUAUUCGGAAGAACACCAGUGGCGAAGGCGACACACUGGCUCAUUACUGACGCUGAGGCGCGAAAGCGUGGGGAGCAAACAGGAUUAGAAACCCCUGUAGUCC
rnacentral:rRNA from 1 species